GACGAACGCUGGCGGCGUGCUUAACACAUGCAAGUCGAACGGUAAGGCCCUUCGGGGUACACGAGUGGCGAACGGGUGAGUAACACGUGGGUGAUCUGCCCUGCACUUCGGGAUAAGCCAGGGAAACUGGGUCUAAUACCGGAUAGGACCCUGGGAUGCAUGUCCUGGGGUGGAAAGCUUUUGCGGUGUGGGAUGGGCCCGCGGCCUAUCAGCUUGUUGGUGGGGUGAUGGCCUACCAAGGCGACGACGGGUAGCCGGCCUGAGGGGGUGACCGGCCACACUGGGACUGGGAUACGGCCCAGACUCCUACGGGAGGCAGCAGUGGGGAAUAUUGCACGAUGGGCGCAAGCCUGAUGCAGCGACGCCGCGUGAGGGAUGACGGCCUUCGGGUUGUAAACCUCUUACAGCACCGACGAAGCGCAAGUGACGGUAGGUGCAGAAGAAGGACCGGCCAACUACGUGCCAGCAGCCGCGGUAA
rnacentral:rRNA from 1 species